UGUAAAAUGCCCCUUAUGCACACACUCAAAAAAAUUUGUUUUUUUAUUUAUUUAUUUUUUUGAUGCUGUUCAUUUUAUUUAAACAAUUCAUUUUAAUUUAACACCAUAUAUCAGGUUUGUCAUUCAAACUUGACUGCCUCUUGUUAAACUGACUUGAAAUGGUUGCUUUUUGGUUUAACUCGAUGUUUCCAUUUUGAAAGAACAUGUUUCAAUCAAGUCCCUCAAAAUAAGUUUUACACUUCCAUUCAUGCUUUGAACAGGAUUGGAUAUGGGGAGAGGAAAUGUUGAAAUAAAGUUUAAACAUUUUAUGCAUUUUUUUUUAUGUGAUAAUAGGGAGACUUUUUCAUGUCUAAUGCUCUAUUAUGUGGGCAUUUUAAAGACUUUCUAUUGUUUUUUUUUUUGUUUUUGUUUUUGUUUUUUUGCGAGUUACUAUUGUGGUGACGUGUGAAGCAUGUGGUUGGGUUGAGGACAUGCUUAAAACAGUCUAAAAUACUUUAAUUAAAAAAGCGAUUCCAACGAGAGUGCUAGUGCAUGAUGUACACACAGUACCAUCCCUUAAACUGCCAACAACUAACAUCAUAUGUGUAAAGAAAAGUUAGGGUAAGGAUUAGGGUAAGGGUAAGGGUUAGGGUUAGGGUUAGGGUUAGGGUUAGGGUUAGGGUAAGGGUUAGGGUUAGGACAGUGGUUCUGCAUGACGUAAACAUAUUACCUCUACUCAGAUAUUUCAUGUAGGAUGAACUAAAGCAAACUGAGUAAACUCAACUAAAAGUAGACGUCCUAAUAUCUUGAUUUAUUCAUGUCCAAAUAACAUGGUACUAUCACAUGGAACCACUGUCCAUGAUUGAAUCAUUUUCAGCCAAAGAGUCAUUUAUUUUUUUUAUUUUUUUUAUUUUUUUGAGUGCAUGGCAUGUGGUUAAUUCUUCAUUUCUUCAUCUUCUUACACUCAGGUAUAUUUCAGAUAACUGGAUAUUUGGCAGACCCUUCACCUUGGUUGACCACCCUUCAUUUAAAGCUGAAAACCGAGCUGUUCUUCAAUCCAAAAGCGAUCCUCGCCAAGAUCUUGCCAUCUCUACAGACAGCUCAAUCAUCACUCCCUCACUGAAAGCCAAGGACCUUGGCAUUACAGGGGAUCUGGAUCUGGCACAUGUGUGUUCUAGUUCUGGAAUGCAAGAACAGUAUUCAGCACCCAUCAUCUACCACAGCCCGACUGCAGUCCAAGCACAUUUUAUCUUCAGCACUCUCUUAAAUUUCAGGUAUCACUCUAUCUAUUAUUCUAUCAAUAAGCAUCUUCUAAAUGCUGAGAAUGUACAGUAAGUACAGCAGAGAUUAUAGUGAAACUUCAGGUUGUGGCAGCUGCUCUUGAGUUUCCCGCAUAUCAUCAUUCCACUGAAAUAAGACGUGAUUGUAUAGCAGAAAAUGCAUUUACAGAGACAUGAUUGUUGCUUUAUGGAAUUGCACAAGCAUUAAGGAAGUGCCAAACUGUUCAGGGUUCUGCUCCACAGAACUAUUC
ensembl:lncRNA